CACUCUCAUCACUGAGUCAUCAGUAGCAAUCUUUCCUGGUGAGGUGAGGACGUCGUCAGGUGCUCCUUAAAUGGUAGGCUUUUGCUAUGAUCCUUGUGAUGGGGGUUUGUAAGACUAACGUGAACCUGACCUUACCCGAUUUGACUUAAUAAUAUGAAGUAAUGUAGCCUAUUUGUAGAGCCCACAGUCAUCUUUCAUGUUACCCAGAGCAUGUUUCAGAAGCGACAUUUUGGGGCUUCGAUCAGCUCAGUAAAUCAUAUUAGUUUUGUUUGUCUCGUUUGGUUGUAUUGAAUUUGAUAUUUCCCCUAAUUUUGCCUUUUUUUGUGUGUGUUCUUUAAAGUAAGCAGUAGGGUUAUAUAGGUGGCUGGCACAAAAAGAUCGGUUCUGCCAAGGCGAAGCGAGUCGUUACCAAGCGAUACCAUGAUCGGAGCAAUGAAUAUUUACACACACACACACACACACACACACACACAAAGGUAGAAUUGGGAAUGGUUAUUGUGUUUUUAUAAUAUUUUUUGCGUUAAUAGUGAAGGUAAAGUAAUGGGAGGGCAGGAAAGGUUAUGGUGGUGCCCCGAUUAACACACACACACACACACACACACACACACACACACACACGUGAGCACGCGUAUGUGCUAAAUGACAUGGUGUGAAAGAAUGAAAAAAUUAAGGAGAAAAGUUAAAGUGGAUACAAAAAUAUACUCGGAGACAGUAAUGAGGUGUAGUAAUGGGGGCAUGGAGCCUUGGUAUGAGUCUCUUCAGGUCAGUUGGCGGCCCUUAGGAGUCAGCAGGGUGAAGGAAUGAGUUAAAUGCGAUUUUUCUUUUCCUGAUCAGUUUGGGCUGAUAGCUGACGGGAUGCACAGCCAACCCCAAGAGUUUCUCACCGCAGCCGCCAGACAACAGGGAUCCCAGUUUUACAAACACACAGACAACAAAUGCAUGAACAAUUUAGCAGACAUAAGGAGGACAACGUGGCGAUCUGCACGGUGUUGGGCUGAGUGGGGACAAAAAGGAAACAGAGGGAAGGAUGGUAAAUUAAGUUGGCAAAAGUGUUCCUCGCGCAGUGCUGGGAAAAAAGGGCACAAAUGUUUGAAUAAGUGAAGAUAAGUGACUAUUUCAGUUUAGAAAAUUACGUAACACUGAAAAGGAAGGUGUGUGAAUAAUGGAGGAACGAGAGGAGGAGGACCUAAGAAGCGACAAUCAUUAUCAUACAAAGCGUUACAAGUCAAAAGAAGAAGAAGCCAGACAGUUCACGGCAUGCAAGAAAGACAGUUUUCUCUCUAUAUCUGCUUGUCUGUUGACUUUUGCUAAAUUCCUGCAGAAUAUUGAAGACACACCAGCUUCCACUGCCCUAGUACCUAAUGCAGAGGCAGAGAGAAACAGCAGUUCCUGUAGCUGCAGAUGAGUAACUGAAAUCAUCACAAGGUGUCAUGAACUGUAAACCCGGCCAGGUGCCACACCCCUCCAAGAACGUUGUGAUCAGGUGUGAUGCUGCUCUGUGGACACUGCCAGGUGUUGCCCCCUCCAAGUGGUGAGAAUUCAGCCGAGUCAAGCUUCAGGAG